AGUAUGUUUUUAUGAAAUUUACUGUUACUUCGUGACGUUUAAAAUGUCUUACUCAUGGCGUGACAUGAUUGGUUAACAAUUCGACGAAUCACAAUCGAUCUUGUGUACUUGAAAGAAAAAUGGCAUGAUUUUUAAUAACAUGUUUUCGUCACUAAUUGAUUGAGGAACUCAAUGAAUGUAUUAAUUGCAACAAUAUAAUUGGCCUUGGAUAAACAAAAAAUAAGAAAAUUAAUUAAAUAAAAGAAGAAGCUCGUUUGAAAUGUAAAUGAUAAAUAAUAGAAAAACAAACGACAACAAUUAGAAAGCACAAAUAAAAGGAUAUUAUUAAUAAUGAAUAAUAAUUUAAAUAGUAUAAUCCAGCUACUGCUAAAUUCUCAAUUUAACAAAGAAAAAAAUAAACGUAUUAUAGAUAGAUAAUAGCGAUCAUAUUACAGUGAAACAAAAGUAAAACAAGUCGGACAAGAGGAACACUUUAAAAUAGUUCCAAGUAUUAUUGAUAUAUAUAAAUGGUAUAGUAAAUGACACGAUGUAACUUGAUGAACAGUAUUAUCAAACGAUCCUCUUUAUUGUA
rnacentral:lncRNA from 1 species